GAUGAACGCUGGCGGCGUGCCUAAUACAUGCAAGUCGAGCGAACGGACGAGAAGCUUGCUUUUCUGAUGUUAGCGGCGGACGGGUGAGUAACACGUGGAUAACCUACCUAUAAGACUGGGAUAACUUCGGGAAACCGGAGCUAAUACCGGAUAAUAUUUUGAACCGCAUGGUUCAAAAGUGAAAGACGGUCUUGCUGUCACUUAUAGAUGGAUCCGCGCUGCAUUAGCUAGUUGGUAAGGUAACGGCUUACCAAGGCUACGAUGCAUAGCCGACCUGAGAGGGUGAUCGGCCACACUGGAACUGAGACACGGUCCAGACUCCUACGGGAGGCAGCAGUAGGGAAUCUUCCGCAAUGGGCGAAAGCCUGACGGAGCAACGCCGCGUGAGUGAUGAAGGUCUUCGGAUCGUAAAACUCUGUUAUUAGGGAAGAACAUAUGUGUAAGUAACUGUGCACAUCUUGACGGUACCUAAUCAGAAAGCCACGGCUAACUACGU
rnacentral:rRNA from 1 species